rnacentral:rRNA from 1 species
GAUGAACGCUGGCGGCGUGCUUAACACAUGCAAGUCGAACGAUGAAGCCCAGCUUGCUGGGUGGAUUAGUGGCGAACGGGUGAGUAACACGUGAGUAACCUGCCCUUAACUCUGGGAUAAGCCUGGGAAACUGGGUCUAAUACCGGAUAGGAGCGUCCACCGCAUGGUGGGUGUUGGAAAGAUUUAUCGGUUUUGGAUGGACUCGCGGCCUAUCAGCUUGUUGGUGAGGUAAUGGCUCACCAAGGCGACGACGGGUAGCCGGCCUGAGAGGGUGACCGGCCACACUGGGACUGAGACACGGCCCAGACUCCUACGGGAGGCAGCAGUGGGGAAUAUUGCACAAUGGGCGCAAGCCUGAUGCAGCGACGCCGCGUGAGGGAUGACGGACUUCGGGUUGUAAACCUCUUUCAGUAGGGAAGAAGCGAAAGUGACGGUACCUGCAGAAGAAGCACCGGCUAACUACGUG